UAGCAACCAAAUCCUGACACACACACCGCCCCCCAGACCUGAAAGAGGAAGCUUGAGGGCCAGCCACCUAGUUCUGCCUGUGUUAUAGUGAAGACGAGCUGCGUAGGAGAAGAUGAAGCCCUUGUCCCUGUUAAUGGAGAUAUUGGUCAUUCUUGAGGUCAUAAUUAAAAAUAUCGAAGCAGAAAAGCAUAAUAGAAAGCAAAAGGAAAGAAAUGUCACCACACAGGUAUCAGUGAACGAAAUCAAACAAUUUUUAUCACAUAUAUUGGAAAGAAGAAAAUUGAUUAAAGUGAUCUAUCAAAGAGAAAAUGCUGUAGGAAAAAAGAAGAUUCAACGUAAAUUAAGAAUAAAAGGAAUUCAAAAUAAAGAUCUCUCAAAAAGAAAUAAAACUCAUUUAAGAAACCAAGCAAAGAAAAAUUUCACAGAUGAAGGAGACCAGCUGUUUAAGACGGGCAUCAAGAUUCUCCAGCAGUCUAAAAGCCAAAAACAAAAAGCAGAAGCCUACGUAUUCUUUGCCAAAGCAGCUGACAUGGGAAACUUAAAAGCCAUGGAGAAAAUGGCUGAUGCUUUACUAUUUGGAAAUUUUGGCAUGCAAAAUAUAACAGCAGCUAUCCAAUUAUAUGAGUCCCUGGCUAAAGAAGGAUCAUAUACAGCCCAAAAUGCAUUAGGAUUUUUGUCUUCUUAUGGAAUAGGAAUGGAAUACAAUCAAGCCAAGGCACUAAUAUAUUACACCUUUGGAAGUGCUGGAGGAAGCAUGAUGUCCCAAAUGAUUUUGGGGUACAGAUAUUUGUCAGGAAUCAAUGUUCUACAAAAUUGUGAAGUUGCCCUAAAUCAUUACAAGAAGGUGGCAGAUUAUAUUGCUGACAAAUUGGAAAAAAGUGAAGGUAUUCCUGUGGAAAAAGUGAGACUAACUGAGAGACCUGAAAAUCUGAGUUCUAACAGUGAGAUUUUGGAUUGGGACAUAUAUCAAUACUACAAAUUUUUGGCAGAAAGAGGAGAUGUUCAGAUACAAGUAUCUCUUGGACAAUUGCAUCUAAUUGGAAGGAAAGGUCUGGAUCAGGAUUACUAUAAAGCAUUAUACUACUUCUUAAAGGCAGCAAAGGCUGGGAGUGCAAAUGCCAUGGCAUUUAUAGGAAAGAUGUAUUUAGAGGGGAAUGCUGCAGCACCACAAAAUAAUGCUACUGCCUUCAAAUACUUUUCCAUGGCAGCCAAUAAGGGCAAUGCAAUUGGUCUUCAUGGGCUCGGUCUUCUUUAUUUUUAUGGGAAAGGAGUUCCUGUGAAUUAUGCUGAGGCACUUAAAUACUUUCAGAAAGCUGCAGAGAAAGGAUGGCCCAACGCACAAUUUCAGUUAGGCUUCAUGUACUACUCUGGCUCUGGAGUAUGGAAGGAUUAUAAACUUGCCUUCAAAUAUUUUUACUUGGCAUCUCAGAGUGGGCAGCCCCUUGCCAUUUAUUAUCUGGCCGAGAUGUACGCGACAGGAACAGGAGUGUUAAGAUCAUGCAGAACUGCUGUGGAGCUUUAUAAAGGAGUCUGUGAACUAGGCCACUGGGCUGAGAAAUUCCUGACAGCAUACUUUGCCUAUAAGGAUGGUGAUAUAGAUUCUUCUCUUGUUCAGUAUGCACUACUUGCAGAAAUGGGGUAUGAAGUAGCUCAAAGCAAUUCAGCAUUCAUUUUGGAAUCUAAAAAGGCUAAAAUUCUUGAAAAGGAGAAGAUGUAUCCAAUGGCACUUCUCCUAUGGAAUCGAGCUGCCAUUCAAGGCAAUGCGUUUGCUAGAGUGAAAAUUGGAGAUUACCAUUACUAUGGCUACGGGACUAAGAAAGACUAUCAGACAGCAGCCACACAUUACAGCAUUGCAGCUGACAAGUACCACAGCGCACAAGCCAUGUUCAAUCUGGCCUAUAUGUAUGAACACGGUUUGGGUAUCGCAAAGCCACUCAACGAGAUAAGCCUUAUCAUUGUCAUCAGUGUAUAUGCAUCAGGAAACCAAAAGUGCAGAGAGGGACAUUCAUUUGGCCAGGAGAUUAUAUGAUAUGGCUGCUCAGACAAGCCCAGAUGCUCACAUACCUGUUUUUUUUGCCCUCAUGAAACUGGAAACUGUGCAUUUGCUCCGAGAUAUCCUGUUUUUUAAUUUUACAAUGAGAUGGAAAUGGAUGAAAUUGGACAACACUCUUGGACCAUACUGGGAUUUAUUUGUGAUUGGCCUAAUCAUUGUUGUGCUGAUCUUCUUGCUUAGAAACCGCUAUGGGUAGGAUCCAGACCAUAGGAAA